rfam:Dipodomys ordii contig_65326, whole genome shotgun sequence.
GGUGGAUCAGUGGUAGAGCACUUGCCUUGCAUGCAUGAGGCCCUGGGUUCAAUUCCUCAGCACCA